UAGGGAAUCUUCGGCAAUGGGGGCAACCCUGACCGAGCAACGCCGCGUGAGUGAAGAAGGUUUUCGGAUCGUAAAGCUCUGUUGUAAGAGAAGAACGUGUAUGAGAGUGGAAAGUUCACACAGUGACGGUAACUUACCAGAAAGGGACGGCUAACUACGUGCCAGCAGCCGCGGUAAUACGUAGGUCCCGAGCGUUGUCCGGAUUUAUUGGGCGUAAAGCGAGGGCAGGCGGUUUAAUAAGUCUGAAGUUAAAGGCAGUGGCUUAACCAUUGUUCGCUUUGGAAACUGUUAAACUUGAGUGCAGAAGGGGAGAGUGGAAUUCCAUGUGUAGCGGUGAAAUGCGUAGAUAUAUGGAGGAACACCGGUGGCGAAAGCGGCUCUCUGGUCUGUAACUGACGCUGAGGCUCGAAAGCGUGGGGAGCAAACAGG
rnacentral:rRNA from 1 species